rnacentral:rRNA from 1 species
UACGGAGGGUGCAAGCGUUAUCCGGAUUCACUGGGUUUAAAGGGUGCGUAGGCGGGUUGGUAAGUCCGUGGUGAAAUCCCCAAGCUUAACUUGGGAACUGCCGUGGAUACUAUCAAUCUUGAAUAUCGUGGAGGUAAGCGGAAUAUGCCAUGUAGCGGUGAAAUGCUUAGAUAUGACAUAGAACACCAAUUGCGUAGGCAGCUUACUACACGAUCAUUGACGCUGAGGCACGAAAGCGUGGGGAGCAAACAGG